rnacentral:misc_RNA from 1 species
UAUAUUUAGAGGAGCGAAGAAGGGAAUUUAUCAGUCUGAGACAGAGACAGUUGUCAGUAGCUGAGUAUGAGCGUGAAUUUGUCAGACUGAGCCGGUAUGGGAGGGAGAUAGUCCCUACAGAGGCAGAGAGGUGCAGACGGUUUGAGGAAGGGCUCAAUGACAACAUCAAAGUCAUGAUCACAGCACUGGAGAUUACGGAUUUUUCUAAACUGGUGGAUGCUGCAUCAAAAGUGGAA